GGGCCCGCACAAGCGGUGGAGCAUGUGGUUUAAUUCGAAGCAACGCGAAGAACCUUACCUACUCUUGACAUCCAGUGAACUUAGCAGAGAUGCUUUGGUGCCUUCGGGAACACUGAGACAGGUGCUGCAUGGCUGUCGUCAGCUCGUGUUGUGAAAUGUUGGGUUAAGUCCCGUAACGAGCGCAACCCCUGUCCUUAGUUACCAUCAUUUAGUUGGGGACUCUAAGGAGACUGCCGGUGACAAACCGGAGGAAGGCGGGGACGACGUCAAGUCAUCAUGGCCCUUACGAGUAGGGCUACACACGUGCUACAAUGGCCGGUACAGAGGGUUGCCAAGCCGCGAGGUGGAGCUAAUCUCACAAAACCGGUCGUAGUCCGGAUUGGAGUCUGCAACUCGACUCCAUGAAGUCGGAAUCGCUAGUAAUCGUGGAUCAGAAUGCCACGGUGAAUACGUUCCCGGGCCUU
rnacentral:rRNA from 1 species